rnacentral:tRNA from 1 species
AAAGUACUAGUAAAGCCAUUACAGUAUCUUGUCAAGAUAUAAUCACGAGUGAAACCCUCGUGUACUUUA